rnacentral:rRNA from 1 species
AUACCAGCACCCCGAGUGGUCGGGACGAUUAUUGGGCCUAAAGCAUCCGUAGCCGGUUCUGCAAGUCUUCCGUUAAAUCCACCUGCUCAACAGAUGGGCUGCGGAGGAUACUACAGGGCUAGGAAGCGGGAGAGGCAAGCGGUACUCAGUGGGUAGGGGUAAAAUCCUCUGAUCCACUGAAGACCACCAGUGGCGAAGGCGGCUUGCCAGAACGCGCUCGACGGUGAGGGAUGAAAGCUGGGCGAGCAAACCGGAUUAGAUUCCCGGGUAGUCCCAGCUGUAAACGAUGCAGACUCGGUGAUGGGUUGGCUUCGAGCCAACCCAGUGCCGCAGGGAAGCCGUUAAGUCUGCCGCCUGGGUAGUACGGUCGCAGGACUGAAACUCAAAUGAAUUGGCGGGG